rnacentral:rRNA from 1 species
UCCGUAGGGUGCAAGCGUUAAUCGGAAUUACUGGGCGUAAAGCGUGCGCAGGCGGUUGUGUAAGUCAGAUGUGAAAUCCCCGGGCUCAACCUGGGAAUUGCAUUUGAGACUGCACGGCUAGAGUGUGUCAGAGGGGGGUAGAAUUCCACGUGUAGCAGUGAAAUGCGUAGAGAUGUGGAGGAAUACCGAUGGCGAAGGCAGCCCCCUGGGAUAACACUGACGCUCAUGCCCGAAAGCGUGGGGAGCAA